rnacentral:rRNA from 1 species
UACGUAGGGCGCAAGCGUUGUCCGGAAUUACUGGGCGUAAAGCGCACGUAGUCGGCUUUGCAAGUCGGUUGUGAAAUCCCCGGGCUCAACCUGGGAACUGCAUCCGAGACUGCAUUGCUAGAGUAUGGGAGAGGAAAGCGGAAUUUCUGGUGUAGCAGUGAAAUGCGUAGAUAUCAGAAGGAACAUCAGUGGCGAAGGCGCUUUCUGGACCAAUACUGACGAUCAGGUGCGAAAGCGUGGGGAGCAAACAGG